rnacentral:rRNA from 1 species
UACGGAGGGUGCAAGCGUUGUCCGGAUUUAUUGGGUUUAAAGGGUGCGUAGGCGGCCUCUUAAGUCAGUGGUGAAAUACUUCAGCUUAACUGGAGAGGUGCCAUUGAUACUGGGAGGCUUGAGUACUGAUGAGGUAUGCGGAAUGGACGGUGUAGCGGUGAAAUGCUUAGAUAUCAUCAAGAACACCGAUAGCGAAGGCAGCUUACUAAGCUUUAACUGACGCUGAGGCACGAAAGCGUGGGGAGCAAAC